rnacentral:rRNA from 1 species
CUACGGGAGGCAGCAGUGAGGAAUAUUGGACAAUGGGCGGGAGCCUGAUCCAGCCAUGCCGCGUGCAGGAAGACUGCCCUAUGGGUUGUAAACUGCUUUUGUACAGGAAGAAACACUCCCUCGUGAGGGAGCUUGACGGUACUGUAAGAAUAAGGAUCGGCUAACUCCGUGCCAGCAGCCGCGGUAAUACGGAGGAUCCAAGCGUUAUCCGGAAUCAUUGGGUUUAAAGGGUCCGUAGGUGGAUGAUUAAGUCAGAGGUGAAAUCCUGCAGCUCAACUGUAGAAUUGCCUUUGAUACUGGUUGUCUUGAAUUAUUGUGAAGUAGUUAGAAUAUGUGGUGUAGCGGUGAAAUGCAUAGAUAUCACAUAGAAUACCGAUUGCGAAGGCAGAUUACUAACAAUACAUUGACACUGAUGGACGAAAGCGUGGGGAGCGAACAGGAUUAGAUACCCUGGUAGUCCACGCCGUAAAACGAUGGAUACUAGCUGUUCGGAUUUAUCUGAGUGGCUAGCGAAAGUGAUAAGUAU